CGGGAGAGAUGUUAGUGAUGAUA
rnacentral:siRNA from 1 species